rnacentral:rRNA from 1 species
AGGGCGCAAGCGUUGUCCGGAAUUAUUGGGCGUAAAGAGCUCGUAGGCGGUCUGUUGCGUCUGCUGUGAAAACCCGGGGCUUAACCCCUGGCUUGCAGUGGAUACGGACAGACUAGAGGUAGGUAGGGGAGAAUGGAAUUCCCGGUGUAGCGGUGAAAUGCGCAGAUAUCGGGAGGAACACCGGUGGCGAAGGCGGUUCUCUGGGCCUUACCUGACGCUGAGGAGCGAAAGCGUGGGGAGCGAACAGG